UACAACAAGGACCCCACCCCGUGUUGUAAAAUACUGAAAGAUCGAACCAGUAAAAUGCUACCGUCCCGUUGGGAACCUACGCGAAACUACACCCUAAUGAAAGCAAAAUUAACCGGGCCGGCAUCUAACUAGCCAGCUCGGGACUACUAGAAGGCAGACCAGCGGCAGUCCACCCACCCCAGCAGGGAGGCCCACAUCUCCCAAUCAGGAUCACCCAUUUAGUACAUGGUCCCCACCAAAUAAAUUGGCACCGCUUUGGGGAAGAAGGACACGUUUAGUGUGUCAAUAGUGAGGGCACCUAUCCGGCAUGGUAAAAUAACCGAUCC